rnacentral:rRNA from 1 species
UACGGAGGGUGCAAGCGUUAUUCGGAAUUACUGGGUGUAAAGCGAGUGUAGGCGGCUUGGUCAGUCAGAUGUGAAAGCUCCGGGCUUAACUCGGAAAGUGCAUUUGAAACUACCAGGCUUGAGUACGGGAGAGGAAGGUGGAAUUCCCAGUGUAGAGGUGAAAUUCGUAGAUAUUGGGAGGAACACCGGUGGCGUAGGCGACCUUCUGGACCGAUACUGACGCUGAGACUCGAAAGCGUGGGGAGCAAACAGG